rnacentral:rRNA from 1 species
UACGUAGGGCGCAAGCGUUGUCUGGAAUUAUUGGGCGUAAAGAGCUCGUAGGCGGUUUGUCGCGUCUGUCGUGAAAGCUUGGGGCUUAACCCCAAGUCUGCGGUGGAUACGGGCAGACUAGAGGCAGGUAGGGGAGAACGGAAUUCCUGGUGUAGCGGUGAAAUGCGCAGAUAUCAGGAGGAACACCGGUGGCGAAGGCGGGUCUCUGGGCAACAACUGACGCUGAGGAGCGAAAGCGUGGGGAGCGAACAGG